UCAGUUGGUUUGCUUGCAAACCAAAGCUGGCGACCGGCGCACGGGUGAGUAACACGUAUCCAACCUGCCUCAUACUCGGGGAUAGCCUUCUGAAAGGAAGAUUAAUACAAGAUGGCAUCAUGAGUCCGCAUGUUCACAUGAUUAAAGGUAUUCCGGUAGACGAUGGGGAUGCGUUCCAUUAGAUAGUAGGCGGGGUAACGGCCCACCUAGUCUUCGAUGGAUAGGGGUUCUGAGAGGAAGGUCCCCACAUUGGAACUGAGACACGGUCCAAACUCC
rnacentral:rRNA from 1 species